AGUUUUCACUAAAAUAUUAUAUUCCCUCCAGCAAAUUUAACUCUCCCUCUCAUUAUCAUUUGACCAAAAAGAAAACUAAUAAAAAAACACUCCAAGUCUCAAGUAUCUGAAAGAGUCCUCUCAUCUUCAUCCUCAAAACCUAGCCAAUUGAUUCUCGAAGCCAUGGUUGAAUUUGAAACCUCAACUCUCAGUUUUGCUUUAAAGCAUGAAAACCUCUCAAAGUCACAGGUUUGUAAAUCUUAUGAAGGGACAUAUUUGGAUUGAAAGUGAAGCUCUUGGCAAGGGAUGAAUCUGCUAAACAAAGGUUGUGAAUAUGCUAUAUUUAUCAUUAAACUUGGCGUUCCUGGACGUGUAAAUGAAUCUAAGCACCCCUUUAUGACCAACUUGCCAGCAAAUCACAAAUGAGUUUUUAAUGAUUAAAUGUUUUGGUCAUGGAUGAAUGGGUGAGUACUAUCUGAAGUGCAAAUGGCAAGAUUUAGCCAUGGCGAUUUGGUUUUUGUUCUGAUGUGUUCUGUUUCAACGUUAUCUGUUAAAAGUUGGAGUAAAAAAAGAGAGUUCUUACUUAUGGCGAUUAGAAUUUCGUUCUAAUGUUUGUAAGUUAAAUGUUAUAUGUUUGACCAUAAAUGGUUAGUGUUUCGUUGUAUAUAUUUGGAUUUUCAUUCUAAUGUUCUUUGUAUUAGCGUAAUCUAUUAAAAAUUGUAGCGCAAAUUAGGUUUUAGUCAUAACUAUUCAUAGCGAGUUUUUAGCUAUGGCGAUUUGAAACUUGUUCUAAUGUUCUCUUUAUUAACGUAAUUUGCUAC